rnacentral:lncRNA from 1 species
GCCCAGCGACAAGGCCGCGGGGUCAGCGUGUCUGUACCGGUGCUGCAACGGGAGGGUCGGGCGGCGACGCUCUCACUGCCGGGCCAGAAGGAGGCCUCCCGGCUCCCUCACGCUAGAAGGGAGCUGGUUACCAGAGGUUUUCAGAGACGCCAAAGUUUUGCCAGGUCAGCCCGGUGCCUGCGUGGCCCACUGCGGGACCUUUGCGCCCAGCCACCGCGCCACCCUACCCCUGUCCCGCCCCUGCCCCAGCCCGGCUGGCCAGGAAGGGACCUACUGGGAGAUACCUGCUCGGAACCCCAGGCUAAGGACGUACCUCCCUUGCUUGAAAGUGGGGGAAGGGGGUGCCUCUCUCCAUUACCGUGGUUAGGAAAGCAGGGUACUCAGGAUCCCGCCUCUCCCGUGCUCCCCACUUUCCCUGCCUUAAUCUUAUCAGCAGCUCCCUGAACUCCCCACUCUGGCCCCUUAUCUUGAGCUGCUUUACCUCUCUUCUCUGUCGUCAACCCCACUCUAAUGGCCUUCCCUGGUCGGGCUACCGGCUGCAUGUCUGACCCGUUCGGAGACUGUGAGCUCCCGAGGGCAGGAACCAGGUCUGCCUUCUUCCUGCUGCUGUCCUAGAGGUCCUGGGAGGUGCUCAAUCCUUGAAGGUGUGAAUGGAUGAAUGAAUGAGCACCCCGCCUCUCUCUCAUUUCUGGUCUAGGAAUCAGGAGUGUAGGUUCCUGUCUGGCUUCAGCACUGACUCUGGGAGACCUUGACCCAGUUCCAUUCCCUGGCAGGGUCUUCUUUCCUGUGAAAUGGAGCCAAUCGCUCCGCUGGCUGGACAAGUGCAGAGGAGGCCUCUUCCUGUAGCCAAGGAACUUGCCCCGGGCCUUCGGGGCCUUGGGCCCUCUUGGGCUCCAUAUCAGCUGACUGGGCCUGGCUGCCAGGAAGGGUGCUGGCUGCAGCCCCACCAGGAGCAGUAGCAGAGUGGACACACAGCCCAUAGUGGCUGAGCCGCCUCUGCAGUCCUGCUGGGGCCUUUGCUUGGGAGACACAAAGGCCCCUUGUCUAGCCUCCUGCGCCUAUUGUCUAAGCUGGGCCACGCACCUUCCAGGGACCUAAGUAUCCUCAUAGCCCGAGUUAUAGGGCCUAGGCCUUCAGGUUCCAGUGUGGGGAAGACCCUUUGGGCACUGGAACUCCAGCCAACCCUCUCUUUCUCUCCCCUCUUCCAAAACUUCAAACCUUAUACUGUCACUGCCAUUUAGCCCAGGAGAAACAAGUUUCUUUGACGCCAAGUUGAGGACCCAGGCUCGACCUUAGCCUUCAGCGGGCAAAUCUGGUUGGUGGCCUGCCCAGGGCUCUGCCCCUGCUCUGGCCCAAUUCCCUUACUUUACAGCUGAGGAAACUGCAUUCCUGAGACAUACAGCGUUUCAGCUACCACACAGGUGACUUAGUGAGGCUUGAGGAGCAGAGGAAGGGGCCUAGUCCUUGAACCCCAUAGCCUUGGGUUUAGAUUCCAGUCUUACCUCACCUGUCCUAUGACUCCUCUCUGAGCCUGAGUUUCCUCUUUUGCAAAAGGGAGUAAUACUAAUCUCUCACUUGCUGGCCUGUCUUAAAUUUUUUGAGAAAGGGCCUCACUCUGUCACCCAGGCCGUAGUGCAGUGGCAUGAUCACAGCACACUACAGUCUCUAUGUCCCAGGGCCAAGGGAUCCUCCCAUCUCAGCCUCCCAAGUAGCUGGGAAUACAGGCACAUGCCACCAUGCCGGGCUAAUUUGUAAAUUUUUUGUAGAGAUGGGAUCUCCCUGUGUUGACCAGGCUGGUCUCAAACUGCUGAGUCCAAGCAGUCCUCCUGCCUCGGCCUCCCAAAGUGCUGGGAUUCCAGGCAUGAGCCCCUGCACCCUAUCCUUAAAUUCUUUUUUCAUGGUUUUAUUCAUCAUCCCAAGCUGUCUGGGCUCAAGGCGUUAGUAUCCCAUGCAAUGAGGGCCUAGAAGUUUCGUCUCCUGACAUCCUCCCCAGGCAGUCCCAUCGCUGGGUUUCAGAGGCCAUCAAGCCCAGCAGGCUUCAAAUCCCCCAACAGAGUCCCCCUUACCUGGGGCUGCCUGGGGAACUCCCAUCCCACUUCAACUUGAGCACCUUUGCCUUUGUAUUUUUAUUUAUUUACAUUUCCUGGUAAGAAUUUGUUGCAAGCACAUGAAAGAUUUUGUGGCUGAAGUAAUGUAAAACCAUUGAUCAAACCGGAAAUUGAGACACAGCCAGCGUCACACAACAGGCCAUCUGAAAGGCUGGAAUAGCAUCGAGGGAGUCUCCCUGGAACCAAGCAGCCAAGGCAGGCUAAUGGUGAAGGCCCAGGCACAGUAAUGGUCCCCUGGAGGUGGGUAAUGGAACCAUGGGGGCGGGAGGAGGGUUCCAUUAGCAGUAGCAGAUCAGGAGGGGAAGGGCAAAGUUCCAGCCUCAGCUUCUCCCAUGUAUUAGGAGGCUUCCUGUCUCUCCAGCCCUGAGGAGGUAUUUGGCUCAUUCAGGCCUUUUCAUCCUCCUUCUCUCAACUUCUCUCAUUGCCCCUGGGAAAACUUGCUCUGAAAAUGCAUGCUGGGGAUGAAGCCUCUGCCCUGGCCCAGGCUCCAAUCCCCCCUUCCCAGGGUACAGUGGUGUCUCUGUUGCCCCUUGAUGCCAUACCCUGCCUUACACUCUCUGGUGGCUCCACCAUCCUCUGGAUAAAGCCUAGCUCUCUAGCCUGCCACUCCAGCCUCCCUGCCUCUCUGCCUCACCUCUCACCUCUGACCAGCCUCCUGUUGCCUCUUGCUGCUCCCUCUGCCCACAGUGCCCCCUGCUUCUGGCUCCCCACCAUGGGUCCUCGAAGACCCAGGCCAGGUGCCCCACCACUUACCAUGCUGUUAUUGCUAUCACUGCCUGUCUCCCCCUCUAACAGGGAUCUCUCUGAGAGCAGAGCCAGGUUCCAUUCUGUUCACAAUUAAAUGGCCAACACCUAGCACUGUCCCUGAAUAAUUUUUCUUUUUUUUUCUUUGAGAUGGAGUCCUGCUCUGUCAUCCAUGCUGGAGUGCAGUGGCGUGAUCUCAGCUCACUGCAACCUCCGCCUCCUGGGUUCAAGUGAUUCUCCUGCCUCAGCCUCCCAAGUAGCUGGGAUUACAAGUGUGCACCAUCACACCCUGCUGAUUUUUGUAUUUUUAGUAGAGACAGGGUUUCACCAUGUUGGCCAGGCUGUUCUUGAACUCCUGGCCUAAAGCGAUCCACCCGCCUUGGCCUCCCAAAGUCCUGGGAUUACAGGCGUGAGCCACCGUACCUGACCCCUGUCCCUGAACAUUUGUCACAAUAUAUUAUGAGUGAAUGAGUAAGAACUCUAUUUUAGUGGUCACCUUCUUUGUGCUAGUCAUUAAGUUUAAGGUAUCUCGCUUAAUAUUCUCCAGAACCCUGUGAGAUAGGCAUUAUUUUAUUCUCAUGUGACAUGUAGAGAAACAGGUUCAGAAAGGGGAAGCGAAAGUCCAAAGCAGUGAAUCUGCGGUGGGUCUCCUGGCCCCAGAAUUGCAGCCUGAUGGGAAGGAAGGCCCUGCUGAGUUCCCAGAGUUAUGGCUGGGUCAUGGCAUUGGGACCCACACUGGCAGCUCCAGUUACACAGGGCUGGGCUGGCUCUAGCAGCCUUGUCUUACUUGCUCCCUGAACUGCUGCAUUGACCUGCACCAUCCUCCCUUCCCUUGCCAGCCGAGAACUGUGCUCCUCAGGUUUCCUGGGCAGGGUCCAGGGCUCUGAUGCCAAACGCAGCCUGGAAACUCUAGCUCUCAGCAUGCCAGGAUGCGGGCACCCAAGUGAGGCCGCCUGGGAUGCAGGAAGCUUAGUCCAGGCCUGGGCAUGCCUCUGUUCCAUCUCCCCUCAAGCAGGACCAGCUACUUAAUCUGCGGGACCCAGAGCAGAAUGAAAAUGUGGGCCCCUCAUUCAAAAAUUUAAAAUUUCCAACAAAAGAAUGAAAAAAUAAGAAAAAAUUAAGAAUUUCAAGAUGGUGAUAGCAGAGUAUUUAACACUUCAAAUCAUGACCCUUACUGUCCAGGUCACAUGCCCACAAAGUCAGCCCUGUCGUCAGGCCUUGGUUUCCUUGUCUGUCAAGUGGGAGAAUGGUAGCCACUGGCCAAAAGGGUGAGGGUGAGAAUGAGGUGGGAGCUGGUGGUAAGAGGUCCAGUGAACAGCAUGAGGAUGAGGUAAGAGUCUCCAAGUUCAUGAUUUGUUAUCUGGGUCUCAGCACCGGGUGGCAGGCCAAACUCCUUGCCAGGAGUUUGAUUGCUUACAACAGCUCUUUUUCACAGAACCAAAAAACUAAAAAUCCAUGAAGCAAAGUAACUUGCUCAGGGUCACACAGAGACUCAGUGGGGGAAGCCAAGAUCAGAGUUCUGGCCUGGCUCUCUUCGAAGCUGGUGCUUUUUGUGACCCAGGCAGGAGAGAGAGAAGCGCAGGAGGGAGGUGGGAUGGGGACAGGCUGCUCAGGACAAAGAGGGCCACUGUGCAGACACAAAGACCUGACCACAGAGGCCCCUCUGGGGGCUGGGACAGACAAAUGGAUGGAGCCCUGUGACUCUAUCUGUGGUGACUGGGGUAGCUGCCAGGAGCUGCCUCCUAGACCCUACCUGGUUGUGAUGAGGGUUGGGGAGGGUGUUGGUGUGCAGGAACCAGGAAAUGGGUCAGGGAGGAGAAACAAACUCAGAGAUGGGCCCCUUCCCCACUCCCCAGGCCUCUGACCCCAUCUCCCCCUAGCUCCUCCUGGGCAGCCUGCCAGCUUAUGGAAUCUCCCACAAACCAUCCACCGCCCCACAUUCCUCCUUCUCAGUGAGGGUGAGGCUCAGGCAACUCACUGUCUGGCAGUCCCAGCCUCACAAUACUUCUGACCCUUCCCCAUCACCAGUGGCAGGAUGAAGCAUAUGCCCUCGGCGCAGUGUCCUUCAGGGCCCUGUGUGACCUGCCCUGCUGACCUUUCUUCACUCACCUGUCCCCACUCCUCCUCAGCCUUCUACGCUGCAGUCACAUGGAACGUCCCACCAUUCUCCAAACACUCUGUCCUUUCAUACACACACCCCCAUGUUGGCUCAUGCUUUUCCUUCUUCCUGGGGGGCUGUUUCCCCUGCUCCAGUAGACUGAAAUCCCAUUUCUCCUCCAUGAACCAGCUCAAAUGCCACCUCCAGUAGCCAGCUUUCCUCCAUGCCCACAGUUGGGUUUAGCUUCGCUCAUUAACCUGUUAAUCUACACAUGUUGGGUUCACCCACUCUAGCGGUGCUCCUCCCACGCUGGCUUGUGUUGUAGUUGUUCCAAUCCACAAAGCCUACCUGGAAGAGGGGACCUUUGAGCUGAGCCUUACAGGACAGGUGGACUUCACUAGUGAAUGUCAGUGGUAAGAAGUGACAGGAGCUCAAAGAAUCAGGGAUAUCAGCCCUAUCUCCAAAAUUUUAUCUGCAUCAGCCAGGUUGCUGAGUUCAAAUAGCAAGGAGUCUAUAGUUCAGAAUGGCAGGAGUUGAGUGUGCAGGGACACUGUCAAGGGAUAAAGUUAAGAGGUUCACCAGGGCCAAGCCACGAAGGGUUUUAUAAUGCCAUACUAAGGAAUUUUUUUGCUUGCUUGUUUAAAACACAUUUGAAUUUAUUUCUCAGCUCUAUAGUUUACUAAGUAAUUAAGUUCUGGCUUUUAUCUUUACUAUUUUCUCCCUCUUAAUUACCUUGGGUAGCUUUUCUGUUCUUUUUCUACAAGCUUAUUAAAGUGAAUACUUAGGCUGGGUGCGGUGGCUCAUGCCUGUAAUCCUAGCACUUUGGGAGGCCGAGGUGGGUGGAUCACUUGAGGCCAGGAGUUUGACUGGCCUGGCCAACAUGAUGAAACCCCGUCCCUACUAAAAAUACAAAAAUUAGCCGGUCAUGGUGGCACACGCUUGUAAUUCCAGCUACUCGGGAGGCUGAGGCGUGAAAAUCACUUGAACCCAGGAGUUGGAGGUUGCAGUGAGCCAAGAUCAUGCCGCUGUACUCCAGCCUGAGUGACAGAGCAAGACUCUGUCU